GAGGAUAUAGCUCAGUGACACAGCAUUGCCUGGCAAGCAUAAGGUCCUGAGUUCAAUUCCCGGUACCCACA
rnacentral:tRNA from 1 species